rnacentral:lncRNA from 1 species
UCCCAGUGGACCCCUCAAUUCGGAACUUUCCAACUCAACCGGAGCGAGGGUCAGAAAGAUUGUUCUUCACCCCUCUUCCUCCCUAGCUCUGAAUUCUUCCUCUUCUCCUAGAGUUGGGGCAGAAAGGACCGAAUCUUUUCUGCUUCUAGGGUCUAUCCCAGCAACAACAUACUCAUUCCCCUACACAGAUACGGGUGAAAACCUCAAUCAAAUCAUUUUCUUCUAGCAGAAAAAAAGGCGUUUCCCCAACCAGCUUCCAAAAUCAGCCAUAGGGAGAGAAAGAGAGAGAGAGACAGAAAAAAAAAAAGACGCUGUUAGCGGCCAGGCCUGAACCCCAGUGGGAUAUUCUACUUCCCCAUCCCAGGAAUGGAGGGGGACUCCAGCGAAAUUACAGGGAAUUCGUGGUCACGGGACCGGCCUCCGCCAAUCGCUCGUCUGGGCCUGGUGGAAAACAGAGAGCAUUAUUUGGUUUAAUUGAUUCAAAAACACCAGAGGACCACGACCAGGACACCAUGAGCCCCCAUUCCUACACCAGUGCCUCACAUGCUCUCUCCCCAAUGCCUCCGUUUCUCCAGAAAAGCUAGAGGAACCUUUUCCUCAUCCCCUUCGAAGGAAAAGAUGAGUGAGGAUCUCCGCGUUGGAGGAAGAGGGAGUCGAAAGAGGCUUCCACUCUUUGAAAAAGGUCAGUAUUAAGGUGAAAAUAAGAAAGAGAUUUACAAUCAUCACACCACUAUCCCUGUUACCCUCCAAAAACAACAGUUAAAUCUUGGGAAAUGGACAGGAACUCCCAGGCAGACACAUAGGAGUGAGAUGGAGCAUAAGGGGCAUUUUUGGGCCUCUGGCCUCCAUCGCUGUAUGGUCUGGGUUCUCUUCUCUGCCCAGUGUUUGCAGCACUGCCUCUGCCCCUUAUGUACCCCUGCUUUCCUCACUUUCAGGCUUCCAUGCUUCUCUGUGACAUCCCCCAAAAACAGGCAGAGUCUAAGAUGUGCAUGUACCCACUCAAGCCUCAAGCUUGUAUCUGUAUCCAUAUCCAGGGACAUGAACAAGAACUGAGGUAGCCAUUGGUUUAACUUAGAGCACUCUCAAAGUUCAGAUCAGCGUUAUGUGUGUGCAUGAGUGUGGUGGGGAGAUUUUCCCCUAGGACAAAGAGACUUUCCCUCCCAUUUUUGCCAUUGUGCUAGUUAAAAAAGAAAAAAGAAAAAAAAAAAAAAAAGAAUCCCUGACAAGGAAGAAUUCCCUGAAGAUGGUAGGGGUGGAAAUAAUGACCACUGAGAUGAUAUUCCAUUUCUGGCUGCUGGGGGAAAAUGUUUUUAAAAUUUAUUUUAUUUUGAGGAGACCAAGAUAGUCUGAAGUUUAGAGUGUUGUAAUUUACUAUGGGGAGAGGGCACAAGACUCUGAGCCCCAAGCAAUUGGUGGGAAACUAGGCCUCAAAGCAGAAAAUGAAAAGUCGAUCUGGGGGAAGAUUUUUAAAUAAGUGGGUCAGACGGAUGGAGAGGAGAUGAGGCGAUCAAUCUUAGCCCCCUGACAGCUCCCUCCGAUUGCAUCAAAGAAUUUGGCUCUUUGGGAAAGCAGAGCGAACAGCCAAAAUUUCACAUCCCUUAAAAAGGCCUGGGGGUGGGGGUGGGGGUGCAAAAGAGAAGGGUGAUUCUGGGAGAGCUGGGAAACAGAUGGGAAAUGGGGACAGAGGGAAAGCGCUAAGUUGGGUGGAAAGUUUGCCUGGAGAACUCCCAUGGCUUUGGCCUCCCCUCCCCCUCCUCUCUCUCUGCUGCCCAGCCAGGAGGAGAAGGCUGGUUAGCAGAGAAAUGGCAACUGAGCCCGGAGCUGGAACUAGAAACUUUCUGUCAGUGUAACAUCUGCGUGAGUACUUAAAAAGAAGGACAGAGAAGUCUGAGUAGAAGCAUGAGGGUGGGGGAGAGGAGGAUGGAGAAAGGGGAGUUGGAGGUGGGGGCUGCAGGGACCGAGGAGGCAUGCUCUGGAGGGCUCAGAACAGAGAGAGCUGCUCUGACCUGGGCAAAGUGGCCAGCGACAGUAGUGUGCAACUAGGCUCCAAAGAAAACAAUUUUUGCCAUUUAGAGGUGUGGAUGGGGGUGGGCAUAGAAUAAUCCAAAUAGUAGCUGUCUGGAAGUCAUGCAGGGAGGCCUGAGAGUGGGUUCUCCCUCUGGCCACCCCCUUGAACACCUCUGAAAGUUUAGCAACAGCUUCUGUAGCUGGCUGAAGGAUCCAGAGCUUAUCUCAGGCAACUCGGGCAGACUGUCCCUGCAGGAAAUACAGCUCUCUCUAACCCUCACUGACAGAUUUUAUGGCCAGAUUAGCAAACAGCGGAAAACUUGGGUGUUAAAAGGGGCCCAGAGAACCCUCCUUUUCAGAGACAUCCCUCCCCCGCCCCCCUGUCCUGCUGUGAAUUUAACAGCACGGAUAUUUUACCCACGUCUUUGGCUGCUUUAGCUGAGCGCCUGGAAUCUUCCAAAGAGAAGGAUAGGGAACACCAAGCCAAGUUGGUUCUUAUUUUUCUUGUUUGCAAUUCCAGCUUCGAGCCAAAGCUCUGUUUUUCAAACUUAAGCUAAAUUCUCUUUCUUGGCCUCUUUCCUGCUAGAUAAAUAACAACCCAACCCAGCCCCAGAGCCAAACAUGGUGCUUCAUCUAGUUAUAUCAUUCAGAAAAUGUUAUUCAAGGAAGAAGAGAGAAAGAGAAAGAAAGAAAAACCCUUGAGCGUUAUUUGAUCCCAAUCAAACUUUGCACGCUCUUAUGCCUUUAAAUUAUAGCCUGACCCAAUGCUAAAUUGCUUGCUGCUUGGAUGAGUCCAGUUAAAAUCCUACUUGGUGGUGGGGAAGGGGGAGGGCGUAGAGUUCAGGUUGCUUUUUUAUUGUUAUUUAUUGUUGCAUAAAGACUAUAAUUACUAACCUUGGACUGCCAGGAUGCAACAUAAAAAUGAAAAUCAGCCCUCUCUUUAAGGCAGGGCCUGGAACGAUUCUCACUCCCCCAACAUCACUACCACCAAAUAUAUGCUCCUAAUUAAGCAAUGCGGGCACAUCGCUUACAAUUAGAAUUAUGCAGCUCUUCAGCAAGCAGCCAUCGCUUCUCUUUCAACGAAUUAGCUCCAUAUUUCAGCCGCCCUGUCUUCUCGCUCUUAUCGGCUCCAGCGACUCGGCGGUGACAUUUCAUCUUUGACAGACCUUCUCUAUUUUCACUCCAAUGUGAUAAAACUUUUAUGGAACCACAACUAAGAAAUGAAGUUUUCCCAAGGAUGAUGGAAACAGAGCCGCACAUUAGCCUGGGGACCGUUUUAUUUACGCUUGGAUCCAACAGCUUCUCCCACCCUCCUCUCCCCUUUCUCUGGCAGGGGAAAUCGAACGUGCUUCCCCUCCCUCCGCCUCGAGUUUUAUUUAGUGAUUUAAUUUUACUUAGUUUUAAAGUUUGACCUGAGAAGUCU